rnacentral:rRNA from 1 species
CCCCUAGAUGUUCUGGGCCGCACGCGCGCUACACUGAACAGUUCAACAAGUCUUAACCUUGGCCGAUAGGUCUGGGUAAUCUUUGAACGCUGUUCGUGAUUGGGAUAGACCUUUGCAAUUAUGGGUCUUCAACGAGGAAUUCCUAGUAAACGCAAGUCAUCAGCUUGCAUUGAUUACGUCCCUGCCCUUUGUACACACCGCCCGUCGCACCUACCGAUUGAAUGGUCCGGUGAAAUCUCGGGACGGCGGCUCGGUCGCUUGCGUCCGACUGCUGAAACUUGAUUAAACCAUAUCAUUUAGAGGAAGGUGAAGUCGUGACA